UCGGGAAUUUUGGGCAAUGGGCGAAAGCCUGACCCAGCAACGCCGCGUGAAGGAUGAAAUCCCUCGGGAUGUAAACUUCGCAAGAACGGGAAGAAUAAGUAAGAGUUAAUAUCUCUUACGAUGACGGUACUGUUUGUAAGCUCCGGCUAACUCCGUGCCAGCAGCCGCGGUAAUACGUAGGUGGCAAGCGUUGUCCGGAUUUAUUGGGUUUAAAGGGUGCGUAGGCGGUCCUAUAAGUCAGUGCUGAAAUAUCCCGGCUUAACCGGGAGGGUGGCAUUGAUACUGCAGGACUUGAGUAGAGUUGAGGUUGGCGGAAUUGACGGUGUAGCGGUGAAAUGCUUAGAUAUCGUCAAGAACACCGAUAGUGAAGACAGCUAACUAAGCUCUAACUGACGCUGAGGCACGAAAGUGUGGGGAUCAAA
rnacentral:rRNA from 1 species